UUAACACCGAAAUCCAAAAUUGUUCUUCACCUGAAAUCGAAAAUCGUUCUUCAACCGAAAUCGAAAAUCGUUCUUCCCACCGAAAUCGAAAAUCGUUCUUCACCCUAAAAUCGAAAAUCGUUCUUCACCCUGAAACCGAAAAUCAUUUUUCACUAUGAAAUCGAAAAUUGUUCUUCACGCUGAAAUUGAAAAUCGUUCUUCACCCUCAAAUUGAAAAUCGUUCAAUCACUAUUCCAUUGAAUCAUUUGAUCACUUUGUUUGUUUUCCAAUUCUGAAACUCAUGUAUUUUAUCUUUCAUUUUCAUAUUCAGAUCUAGAAUACAUUGUGGAUGUGGAACCAAAGAUUGAUCUGAGUUUCAUAUCUUCAAGUUCAGGUUUGAUUAGGCAGCCAGAAUAUGGUUAUAUAAAGGAGCUUCAUAGAGCUAUCAAUAUGUGCGAGCUAGCUUUGGUUUCAAAUGACCCAAUCGUUACUUCAUUAAGGAGCUCCCAACUGGUUUUAACUUAAUUCAAAGUUAUUUUGCUAUCUGCUUGUGUUUAGCUUAUUUACCAUCCUAUUAUACCAUGUGUAACUUUUUGAGGCUCAUGUAUACUCUACGGAAUCUAGAGAUUGUUCUGAUUUUCUCUCAAAUUAAUGAUUUAAACUCCUUAUUUUAGGUUGGGGUGAAAAUAUAUCAAAUGAAAAUGGGAGAGUUUUGAUGAAGAUGUUUCUUCUGUGGACGAUAGCUCCUCACUCACUUCUCUUUGUCUUUUGGAACAAAUAAAUGUAACACGAGAUGCAAGCUGUUAUCUUUGGUAUACAUCUAGUGUUGAUACGGGUUCAUUUGAAUCCUUUCUACAUGGAGGAGAGCUUCCAACUCUCAUAGUUCAGUCCACAAAUCAUAUUGUUCAUGCUUUCAUCAAUGGUCACCUUUCUAUGCUUGAAGUUGAUUGAUUGAAUGGUAAAUGUAAAACUAGAUGGUUGGCGGAGGAACGAUCGCCAAUGGACUUCGUCGUUUGUUUCAACGACGAUCUACAACUACUACUACUAAACGCCGCAAUGAUGAUGAUGCUGAUGCUGAUCAUGACAAUCGCGUCUCCGUGAAAGAUUUACGCUCACAGUUGGCAACCAUUCCAACCACUAACGACGAUCGUCACCAUCACACUCCUCUUCCUCCAACUACUACUACUAAGUCGUCUCUCUUCAACAUCAAAGUUCCUGUUCAACCUCUUUUCCCUCCUUCCAUGGAUCCAAACAAAAAGUUUUUCAUCUUUUUGUUUUUUCCUCUUUUUUUAUUUUAUUUUUAUUUAUUGUUUAUUGGAUCAUAUUUUUUUUUUUCCGUAAAAUCUGGGUCAACUUUUGUCUCUUGUAACUUGUAACUAUCUGAAAAUGGAAAAUACACUACAGAUAGAGGUAAAACCAACUAAUUAAUUUGUUAAUUGACGCUUGACUAGUGCUAAUUGUUAACAGAAAUUGCGAUUACCUUGCUGUUGUGGACAUGAUGGUAGUUAAGUAAAGUAACUAACAUAUUGCAUCAAUUAGGAAAUGACAACACACUCAGUUAGCCCCCCUUAUGUUUGCAUUUUUAUUCCUAUGUUUUGUGUUUUUUUAGCAAUUCAAUAUAAAUAGCAUUAGUUGGAUUCAUUCAAUUAUUCAGAUUUUUCUGGACAACUUAUUGUGGAAGUUAGGCUGAGAAAAUGGAAACUUGAUUGAUAGAUCGAAAAUAAGGAAUUUAAAGAGAGAUGCUGCAGGGGACCGGAGACGAGAGACCCCUUAUAAAGAGGAUUCUUGUUCAAUCAAAAUUGUGUGAAUAAGUACCAAUUUUCAUUAUAUCGAUGCUACAUGUUCAUUUGAUUUAGUGCGUGUUUGGUCCGGCGUUAGCUUUCAUGGAAUCGCGUUGGAAUUUUACAUCUGGGCAAAAACUUGGUUUUGGAGCUUCUGCAUUUUCACAUUAAACUUGCAUUGGGAUGUGAUGUUUGGUGUUCAAACGCAGAUCCAAACACUUGUUUAAUUGAUUGUCUCAUUUCCUAGUGUUUUUUUUCCUGCUACUUUCUUCAUAUUACUAUACAUUAAUACUUUGGAAAUUAUGGUGAGAUAAAUGAAGGGACCACUUUAGUUUAUAGUCUUCAAGUUCUGUUUAUGAUUGGGUUUCAGAUAAUAUAACUUAAUGCUUUCUUGUUUCAAACAGGGUGCGCCGGAGACAGAGUUUUUUACUGAGUAUGGUGAGGCAAGUCAAUACCAGGUCCAAGAAAUUAUUGGAAAAGGAAGUUAUGGUGUUGUGUGUUCUACGAUUGACAUUCAUACCGGUGAAAAAGUUGCAAUCAAGAAAAUUCAUGAUGUUUUCGAGCAUGUAUCAGAUGCUACACGGAUCCUUAGAGAGAUCAAGCUCUUGCGCUUGCUCAGACAUCCUGUUUAUGAAUCCUCUUGAAUAUUUUACUUGGUCAUUGAUUAGAUUCAUAUAAAAUAGUGGUCUUUCUAGUUAUACUUAUUCAAAUAGA